AACGUAGGACGCAAGCGUUAUCCGGAUUUACUGGGCGUAAAGCGCGGGCAGGCGGUCUUGCCAGUCUGAUGUGAAAUCUCUCAGCUCAACUGGGAGCAGCCAUUGGAAACUACAAGACUGGAGUCUGGCAGAGGUAGGCGGAAUUCCGGGUGGAGUGGUGAAAUGCGUAGAUAUCCGGAGGAACAUCAGAGGCGAAGGCGGCCUACUGGGCCAGUACUGACGCUGAGCCGCGAAAGCCAGGGGAGCGAACGGG
rnacentral:rRNA from 1 species